UGGGGAAUAUUGGACAAUGGGGGCAACCCUGAUCCAGCCAUGCCGCGUGUGUGAAGAAGGCCUUUUGGUUGUAAAGCACUUUAAGCAGGGAGGAGAGGCUAAUGGUUAAUACCCAUUAGAUUAGACGUUACCUGCAGAAUAAGCACCGGCUAACUCUGUGCCAGCAGCCGCGGUAAUACAGAGGGUGCGAGCGUUAAUCGGAAUUACUGGGCGUAAAGCGAGUGUAGGUGGCUCAUUAAGUCACAUGUGAAAUCCCCGGGCUUAACCUGGGAACUGCAUGUGAUACUGGUGGUGCUAGAAUAUGUGAGAGGGAAGUAGAAUUCCCAGGUGUAGCGGUGAAAUGCGUAGAGAUCUGGAGGAAUACCGAUGGCGAAGGCAGCUUCCUGGCAUAAUAUUGACACUGAGAUUCGAAAGCGUGGGUAGCAAACAGGAUUAGAUACCCUGGUAGUCCACGCCGUAAACGAUGUCUACUAGCCGUUGGGGUCCUUGAGACUUUAGUGGCGCAGUUAACGCGAUAAGUAGACCGCCUGGGGGAGUACGGCC
rnacentral:rRNA from 1 species